ensembl:lncRNA
GUUAUAUUUACAUAAUCUAUAGGCAGUCAACUGCCUGUAAUGUAAUUAGUUAUGAUCAACUGACGUGUGGAAAUCAGACCCUAUAGCCGGUAAGGAUACAGAGUAGGCAUGUGUUUAUUGGUGACGCACGUACACCCUGGUGCAAGGGGGAUCGCUCCACCUAACUUGCACACCAUCAGGAGAAAUCGUGCUAUAGAUAUAGAUCGAACUAAUACAUAAUCAAUAGUUGACAGGAAUUCGGAUACAUAUUCAUUACAUUCCCGAGAGCCCAUUAGCAUGCAGUCCCUCCCCCCCCUUGCGCGUGCGUAGUAGGUCAUGAUGAUGAAGGCUCAUAGUCUUCCUCGCGAAGGCUCGUAGCCUUCCUUGCUGCAAACUUCUGCCCCCAAAGGGGGGGCAUCUCCUGAACCGGUUUCAACUUGCCCUGUAGACAUCUAAUCACCUCCCUGCCAAAUGUUUUUGAGCUGCUCUCCAGUCCUUAUCUUUAUGGCCUUCAUCCUCCUUGAUAUUCCAGACCUACUGUCUGUGAAAGUGCUUGGAAUCCCUUGUUUUCUAACACUCCUUACAUAAACUAUCUCUAUUUGCUCCUUAUUUCUACUUUGUGAAGCUACUUUCCCUUUUCUUGCUCUGAGGCCCUUCUCUCUAUAACUGCAGGGUCCUGUUCUCACUCUUCACAACCCUGAUGUAUUCUCCCCAUGGCUAAAUUUUGAGAUCCUUAUUAUAACAGCUCUUUUUUUUUGUGCCACAGAAGGAUCUUUUUCUUCACUGUGUUCAUACAUCUACUCUUUGGACAAUUUAUCAAAGUAUAUAUUUUCUGUUAACCUGUUCAUUCAUCUUAGAAAUUUUCUUAUAUCUAUCUAAUUUUCUUUUAAGUAGCUUUAAUACAGAGUAUCUGGAGGAUGUUUUUCAUUUGUAAUUCAGCAAAAUCUUAAUGCAUUCUCUGCCAUGCAUAUUUUUACUACUCUUCAGAAGCCCCAGAAAUCCAGGUCAUAGCAAUAUAUGUAUAGUGAAAGUGUGUACAUAUGCACAUUUUAUACUUUCUUAGCAACUUCUUACUAGUAUGUCUCUAAUUAUAGAUAUUUUUUUUUUUUUUUUUUUUUUUUUGCUAUGGGUUCUUGUCUGUCUGUUUUUUAUUUGAUUCCUUUUCAUGUUACAAGGAUUGUUCAGUUGCAUCCUGUGGGAUAGGAAAACAGUUUCUGAUGACAGUGUUCCAAAACCAAUAAAGUAUCAGCUUAGUACUCCUAUUUCUUAUCCUAAUAUUUGUAUCUAUACAUAAAAUGACUAGUGACCAUAUUUUCAUUCACCAAAAACAUACAAGCAAAACAGAAAAACAGAGGAAAGUAUACUACAGUAAACAUAUUCAAGGUCCAAGAAUUUGCCACAAACAAGGAAAAAAUCUCAGAUCUCUUAUCUCCUUUUUCUUAUCUUAAUUACACAAAUACAUGACUUGUAUAUUGCUGGUCAUCAAGGAGUGCAUAGAAUCAUAGAAUCGCUUGGGUUGGAAGGGACCUCAAGGAUCAUCAAGCUUCAGCCCACCUGCCACAUGCAGGGCCACCAACCUACAUAUCCAAUACUAGACCAGGCUGCUCAGGGCCCCAUCCAGCCUGGCCCUUAGCACCUCCAGGGAUGGGGCAUCCACAACCUCUCUGGGCAGCCUGUCUCAUAUUGCUUUGAGAAGAGUGAGGCAAUUUGAGUGCAUGCAGGAGUACCAAACAUAUUGAUGUCAUCCUGACUAUCCCAUUUCCCUUUAAUCCAGAAAGUGAUGGGAAUGUUCCAGGAUUUUUUUACAAAUGUUAUUCCUUAAAUAUAAUCCAAAUGUUUGUUAUCAUAAUGCCAUAACACUUCAUGCAGUAUAUAUCAUACUUAGUCUGGAGAAAAGUAGGCUGAGGGGAAAUCUCAUAACUCUUCCUGCCUGAAAGGUAGGAAGGAGAGUGCUGGUCUUUUUUCUUGGAUGUUAAGUGGUAGAACACAAUGAAAUAGCCUCAAGUUGUGCCAAGGGGGAUUUAGAUUGGAUAUUAAGAAGAAUCUCUUCACAGAAAUGGUGAUAAAGCAUUGGAACAGGUUGCUUAGAGAAGUGGUAGAGUUGCAUCCCUGGUAGUAUUUAAGAGAUGUGAAUUUGGCUCUUAGGGACAAAUUUUUAGUGGCAGAUUUGGUAGUAUUAGGUUGAUGGUUGGACUUGAUUUUAAAGACCUUUUCCAGACUAAUUGAUUAUGUGAUUCUAUGAUUCCAUGAAAAGGAAUGAAUAAUUCCCUCUGUGUCUUCUAGUUCUAGCUUUCUUCAUUUGGGGAGAAACACACAGCAUAUAUUGAUUAUAGAUAUUGUUCCUAGUGCAGUUGGUAAGAUAAAUUAGUGCUAAAUACAUUGUUGAUAUGGAUUCAAUUCUCCAGUUUUCGACUGGGUUACUUACUUGAGAGAAAAAUCUCAGUAAACAGAACUGUUUUCUUGUUUGGGUUCACCUCACUGCUAAAUCUUGAGGCUUUGUAAAGUGUAAUGAACUGUUAAUUUGCAGACUAUAAUGGAUUUACUUUGUUUCCUAUAGCUCACAAUAAGGCAGAGAAAGUUGCACGUUAAUCACAUAACUGUUACUUUACUAAUGCUUUUUUCCCCGUAUUUUAAAUGUGGAAGUAUUUUGCAAUGACUACAGCUAUUAAAAAAAAAAAGAAAAAAAAAAAGAAAUUAUCAUAAAAUAGGAACAGAUCAAGUUUAUAUCCAAUUUAUUACUAUUUUAUCCUGAGGGACUGAGAUUUUAGUCUACAUUAAAAAUGUUUUAAAUAUUGUGUAGAGGGAAAAGUAUUUAAGGUCCCAGUUCACCAAUCCGUCCCUUUCAGCAAAACACUAAAAAACAUUUGAUUCCUAUUAACUUUAAUGGGUUUAAGCAUGUUUAAAUUUAAUGGACCUAAAGUUGUAACAAAUCAGUGGAUCUAAGGCAGUUUUUUUCUUCUGCAUCUAUUCUUGCCAGACAGAAUCCUGAGCAGUUCACAUAACAGUAAGUUCUAAAAGUCCUCAUGGGGCAAUGUGAGCUUUGUAACUCCUAUCAAUUAUUAUUAUUAUUUUAAUUUAAGGUAGCAGACAGACUUUCUAUUCUAGCUUUUUGGACUGAGAUGAGGCUUUUGGGAGUGAACAAGAUGAAUUAUCCAGUGAAUCCAUCUUGCAUUACUUUGAAUGGAACUUAUUGUCUGAAUGAAGGAAUAUCUCUUCUACGCCACGUGGAUGAUCAAAAUAUUCUUUUUCCAUAAAGGUCUAAAAAUGCUCGGGUUUCAGGCUGAAAUUUGGUGCUUUCUGAGACAUAAAAGGUCAAAAUUUUAGUUAUCAUUUCUUUCAAUAGCAUCAACAUAACAAGAGGCUUUAAAGUGCAACAGUGAUUCUGGUCUGGCCUUAGAUCUAACAGAAGUUACAGAAAACAUUUUUCCACUUUUAGGUUGGUCGUUUUUUGUUGGUGGUGGUGGAUGUUUUUUUUUGUUUGGUUGGUUGGUUGGUUUUGUUUGUUUGUUUUUGCUUUUGCUUUUUGUUUUUGUUUUCCUUCUGUCAUGGUUUUAUGAUUUUUGUUAUUGGUAUUCCACAUCAUAACAUCAUGUAAAGCACUGGGAGUUAAAGAGUUAAUGCCUCACUUCAGUGGACUGCUGAUUUUCCAGAUACCUGGUUCUUAGAAAAGAACUACAUACCCAAAGGACUUUGCAUCCAGAAGGAAAGAUAGAACUCCUGGCAAGUCAUGAGACUGGUCUCUUUCUCUUUCUCAUUGCCUGGCAGUGUGUGUGCUCCCCAGCCAUUUUGCCUUCAAUUCAGAGUAAGGCCUUCAAUUUCGGACACUCCUUCUCUCUUCUUUUUUUGUUUUAUUAGCCUCAAUUCCAAUUAUACCAUAUUAUACUGUGUUGUCUUGCAUUCCAAUAUCAUAUUUAGUAAAUUAACUUUCCUCCUCAGAUCAUUGCUGCUGUUAUAUUGUUUAGGCCCAUCUCCAGUCUCACUACCCUUUCCCUUUCUUUCCCUUCCCCUUUUCUCAGGGCAUGAGUCCAUAGAUCCACUACCCCAUUAGUCACAGUACUGAGCCAAACUGGCCCGUAAAUGGUUGACAUUCCCCCCACAUCCCCCCCCCCUUUUCAGGCCAGUGGGCCUGUGGGCCUGCUGUCCCACUGUCACGGACACAGAGAGAUCUAGAGAUAACUCCAUGACACCUUCCAUAUUCAUAGACUAUAAGUAAGAAAUUAGAAAUUAGAUUUCUAGCUUAUUGCCUGAGCAUGCUCAAUUCCAUCAAGUCUUACUGAAAAUUUCAUUAUGGUUUCUUUCUGCUGAAUAUAUAGUAUAAGAUACUUUCUGGCCAGAAGUCACUGGUUUAACUAAGCAAUCACAUUAAUGCAAAAAUGCAUAUGCAAAAUGAAUUUGAUCUGUGGAGCACAAUUCCACAGAAUAGUAGGUAGGUUUAAUCUUAAACAGACAAGUGAUUAUUUAAAAAGUGAAAAAUGAAGUGAAGUAAAUAAAUCCCAGUUUUAAGUAAAUAAUGUCUAGUCAUGGAGUCUGAGGAAGGGGUGCAUGUGUAUUUCAAGGCAAGAGAGGUUUUGCAUAGAUUUCUUCCUGGGAAUUCAUUAGGCAUUUCAUUAUUUUAGAUUGGUCACUAACCAAUAAAUUUUCCACUUUUCAUCAGAUAUCUUGACAAAGUGUAUGAAAAUCUCUUGGUAUUUGUCUAAAAUCUAAUCAGGCUUUAGUCAUAUAUAUGUGACACAAAGAAUAAUUUUAAAAACUGUAACAUUUUCAGUUGAUAAGAACCACAUUUGUUGCUGUUUAAGCAAUACAGCUUACAAAAUAUGGCGUACAGAUGGAUUUUUGUUAAUUUUUAUCUUUUUUUUUUUUUUACAGCAGGUUAGUGUCAUCCCAUCAUUUAAUCCUCUUCUUCUUCUUAAAAAAAAAAAAAAGCACUUAUCCACUGCAAUACAUAGAAAUUUGAUUUUUCUAGCUCCAAGAAAACUUUUUUUUUUUUUUUUCCCCCCCGACAUUAGCAUUUAGAAAGUCAUAGAGCUGCUUUUGCACCUUAGGUUUUAUAAUUUAUUUGUUUCUUUAUUUUUCUUAUAGUCCAGUUUUAAUAGAUAGAUUUUUCUUCUAUUAAUGAAGAAUAAAAUAUAAAAUUUAUAUUUCAUUUAUAUUUGCUAUCUAGUUGUCAUUCUUCUGAUUAGCUAAAAUAGCCAAAAUAAUAACUUCAGCUUGAAGGGACCAGCAAGGAUCAUUAAGUCCAGCUCCUGGCUCCACACAGUAUCAUCCAAAAUACAAACUGUGUUUCAGAGAGUGUUAUCCAAAUGCUUCUUAACUCUGGCAAUCUUGAUGUCACAAUCACUUCCCUGGGGAGCCUGUUCCAGUGCCUAGAAUCUUCGUGGGCAAGCUAUAAACUGUAAUGAAGUUUUCCCUCAGUCUCCUCUUCUCUAGGCUGAAUAGACCAGGUGAUUUCAACCACUCUUGCUCUCUAGACACUUCACCAUCUUUGUAGCCCUCCUUUGUAUGCUCUCUCAUAGUUCUCUUUCUUGCAUUGCAGUGCCCAAAACUUCAUUCUGUACUUGAGAUGAAACUGCACGAGCACACCUUUAGACUGACCUGUCAGCCAGUUGUAUUAUGUUGGAUUGCCGAGGUUAGCUGCCUCGGAGCUGUCCCAGCCAGAACCACAGCAACUGAUCAUGAGGCACCAAAGUAAAAUUGAAAUACCUAAAGCUCUUUGAAGAAAAGCAGAAUUUCUUAUCAGUAUUUGUUUAUACCUGGGAAGAAAAGAAAAGCUAUUUGUCACCCAGUAUUCAAGAUGACUCUUACUGCCUUAAAUUAAAUAAGUAUAUGAAAAUAUUAUUAAAUUAAUGUGUAGUUAAUUUUGCUUGGCUGAUUUUAAGGAAGUAAUCCUUGGUACCCAAAACUAUGAAGAUCUUCUGUUCUCAGCAGGAAAGCAGUUACUUUUCAUGCAUAUGCAAAGCACAGCAUAACAAAAGACCUCAUGAUCCCAUAACAACUUAUCCCGUAUGAAUAAACAUUAUUAAGCUGUAAUCUUUACUACAUGUUGUUCUUUAACAUGCUUUUGUUUUAGACUGCCUUAGAAGAUAAUGAUCUCUCAUUUGUUAGGCUAGAAUUCAGACACCUUAAGUAAUUUUUUAAUUUUCUUUUUAUGUUUUUCCUCCUUUUUUUUUUUUUUUCCCAUUUACAGAUUUGUCUGCUUGCAAGUUUAUGCCUUCAUCAGUUCCAUAUUUUCUGCUUACACAGAUACAUUUGAAUGUGGAAAAUUUAGACCUGCCAUUUUUUAUUUCAGAGAGAAUAGUUUAGGGGAAUGACAAUGCAAUAAAAGGUAAUGGACAGGUGAGAGAUGGAAGAACUGUCACAUUGACAGUAAUUUUAGUCUUUUCUCUCAGGCUUAUUUGCUUCUCAUGAUGCAUAACUGCAGGAGUUAUGUAAAUAUUUUAAUCAGGUAACAAAUACUGAUUGAAUUACAUAGUGGGACUGAUAUAAUGGGACUUAAGCUGGAUUUGUGGUGAUUUUUCUGGUGAUUAUUUUCUACAUAUUCAUCAGUGUCUUUAAAUCUAAAGUAUCUUUCAAAAAAUUUUAAAGCUUUUAAAGAACCUGAAAAUGCUUGCAAAACACCUGGGAGAAAUAAUGAUUUAUUCCACUGAAUUUUUGCAGUGUUUUAUAGUGUUUCAUUCCAUAAGAUUAGAAUAGACAUCUACUCCAAAUUUAGGAGAUGUCUUUUUACAAGAAUGAUAAAAACCAUGCCUACAAACCCAGGCCUUGUAUUCCCGGAAUCUUAUCUCAGAACAUAAACACCAGUAACAAACUGCUUGUCAAUAUUGUACAAAGAAGAAAUAGAAAGGUAUAACUGUACCAGUGCAUAAGUUGAUGGUAUAACUGCACCAAUGGGCAAGGGAAAAGCCAUUGAUAUAAUUUAUUUGGACUAUUGUAAGGCCUUCAAUGGGGUCCUACAAAUCAUCCUUCUCUCCAAAUUGGAAAGAUAUGGAUUUAAUAUGUGGACUGUUCAAUAAACGAGGAAUUGGUUUGAAGAUUGUACCCAGAGAAUGAUGGUCAGUAGCUCAAUGUCUAGAUGGAGAUUGGUGGUGAGUGGUCUCUCUCAGGAAUCAUUACUGUGACUGAUGCUCUUUAUUGUCUUCAUCAGUUACGUUGACAGUAAGAUCGAAUACAUCCUCAGCAAGUUUGCAUGCGACACCAAGCUGUGUGGUGCAAUAGACACAGAUCAGGACAGGAUGACAUCCAGAGAGGCCUAGACAGGCUCAAUCAGUGGGUCCAGAAGAACAUCAUGAGGUUCAACAAAGCCAAGUGCAGGGUCUUGUACCUGGGUCAUGGCACCCCCUGCUAUCAAUACAAGAUACAGGAUGUAAAGGUGGAGGUCAGCCCUGCCAAAAAGCCCUGGCGAUAAUGGAUAAUGUGCUGGAUAUGAGCCAGCAAUGUACCCUCACAGCCCAGGCAGUCAAUCAUAUCCUGGGUUGCAUCAAACAGACAAGUGAGUUGAACUUGCUCCUAUACUGUGCAAUAGUGAGACCUCACCUGGAGUACUGUGUCCUGAUGUGAAGCCCGCAGUACAGGAGAGACAUGGACCUGCUGGAGCACAAUUUCAUUCAUAAUUUCCUUCUUGAUCUAUAGAAAUGAAAGUCAACUAUUCUUUCACAUUCUGUGAAACUGAUGGAAAAAACAGUCUACCCCAUUCUUCUGUAGUUUACUUUUUUUGGUACACAUCACUUAUUUUAAGGAGACUCCAAAGAACAAUUUUGUAAUUUUAUUACCAGAACAUUUUUGUAACAGUUGAUGGAGUACUAGAAGUUAUUGUGUUGCUGAUGCUGAUAUAUAUAUAUAUUUUUUUCAAUAACAUUUUUCAAAUGCAUUUCCUUCGGUAAUUUUACUAAGCAAUUUUUUAAAAUUCAC